GAGUUUGAUCAUGGCUCAGGCAUGAACGCUAGCGGGAGGCCUAACACAUGCAAGUCGAGGGGUAACGGAAGUAGCUUGCUACUAGACGACGACCGGCGCACGGGUGAGUAACGCGUAUGUAAUCUGCCUUGUACAGAGGGAUAGCCCAGAGAAAUUUGGAUUAAUACCUCAUAGUAUUACUGAAUCGCAUGAUUUGGUAAUUAAAGCUCCGGCGGUACAAGAUGAACAUGCGUGACAUUAGCUAGUUGGUAAGGUAACGGCUUACCAAGGCUACGAUGUCUAGGGGUUCUGAGAGGAUGAUCCCCCACACUGGUACUGAGACACGGACCAGACUCCUACGGGAGGCAGCAGUGAGGAAUAUUGGUCAAUGGACGCAAGUCUGAACCAGCCAUCCCGCGUGAAGGAUGACUGCCCUAUGGGUUGUAAACUUCUUUUAUAUGCAAAUAAACCUACUUUCGUGAAAGUAGCUGAAGGUAGCAUAUGAAUAAACACCGGCUAACUCCGUGCCAGCAGCCGCGGUAAUACGGAGGGUGUAAGCGUUAUCCGGAUUUAUUGGGUUUAAAGGGUACGUAGGCGGUAAUAUAAGUCAGUGGUGAAAUCCUGCAGCUCAACUGUAGAACUGCCAUUGAAACUGUAUUACUUGAGUAUACUUUGAGGUAGGCGGAAUGAGUAGUGUAGCGGUGAAAUGCUUAGAUAUUACUCAGAACACCGAUUGCGAAGNCAGCUUACUAAGGUAUAACUGACNCUGAUGUACNAAAGCGUGGGGAGCGAACAGGAAU
rnacentral:rRNA from 1 species